GUGCAGCAGGCGCGAACUUUACAAUGCGGAAACCGCGAUAAGGGACACCGAGUGCCAGCAUAUUAUGUUGGCUGUCCACAUGUGUAAACGGCAUGUGUUAGCAAGGGCCGGGCAAGACCGGUGCCAGCCGCCGCGGUAACACCGGCGGCCCGAGUGGUAAUCACUUUUAUUGGGUCUAAAGGGUCCGUAGCCGGUUUGAUCAGUUCUUCGGGAAAUCUGACAGCUCAACUGUUAGGCUUCCGGGGAAUACUGUCAGACUUGGGACCGGGAGAGGUAAGAGGUACUACAGGGGUAGGAGUGAAAUCUUGUAAUCCCUGUGGGACCACCAGUGGCGAAGGCGUCUUACCAGAAC
rnacentral:rRNA from 1 species